GACGAACGCUGGCGGCGUGCUUAACACAUGCAAGUCGAACGAUGAACCAGGUGCUUGCACUUGGGGAUUAGUGGCGAACGGGUGAGUAACACGUGAGUAACCUGCCCCUUUCUCUGGGAUAAGCGCUGGAAACGGCGUCUAAUACUGGAUAUGCCUCAUCACCGCAUGGUGUGUGGGGGGAAAGAUUUAUCGGAGAGGGAUGGACUCGCGGCCUAUCAGCUUGAUGGUGAGGUAAUGGCUCACCAUGGCGACGACGGGUAGCCGGCCUGAGAGGGUGACCGGCCACACUGGGACUGAGACACGGCCCAGACUCCUACGGGAGGCAGCAGUGGGGAAUAUUGCACAAUGGGCGCAAGCCUGAUGCAGCAACGCCGCGUGAGGGAUGACGGCCUUCGGGUUGUAAACCUCUUUUAGUAGGGAAGAAGCGAAAGUGACGGUACCUGCAGAAAAAGCACCGGCUAACUACGUGCCAGCAGCCGCGGUAAUACGUAGGGUGCAAGCGUUGUCCGGAAUUAUUGGGCGUAAAGAGCUCGUAGGCGGUUUGUCGCGUCUGCCGUGAAAUCCCGAGGCUCAACCUCGGGCUUGCGGUGGGUACGGGCAGGCUAGAGUGCGGUAGGGGAGAUUGGAAUUCCUGGUGUAGCGGUGGAAUGCGCAGAUAUCAGGAGGAACACCGAUGGCGAAGGCAGAUCUCUGGGCCGUUACUGACGCUGAGGAGCGAAAGCAUGGGGAGCGAACAGGAUUAGAUACCCUGGUAGUCCAUGCCGUAAACGUUGGGAACUAGAUGUAGGGCCUGUUCCACGGGUUCUGUGUCGUAGCUAACGCAUUAAGUUCCCCGCCUGGGGAGUACGGCCGCAAGGCUAAAACUCAAAGGAAUUGACGGGGGCCCGCACAAGCGGCGGAGCAUGCGGAUUAAUUCGAUGCAACGCGAAGAACCUUACCAAGGCUUGACAUAUACGAGAACGGGCCAGAAAUGGUCAACUCUUUGGACACUCGUAUACAGGUGGUGCAUGGUUGUCGUCAGCUCGUGUCGUGAGAUGUUCGGUUAAGUCCGGCAACGAGCGCAACCCUUGUCCUAUGUUGCCAGCACGUUAUGGUGGGAACUCAUGGGAUACUGCCGUGGUCAACACGGAGGAAGGUGGGGAUGACGUCAAAUCAUCAUGCCCCUUAUGUCUUGGGCUUCACGCAUGCUACAAUGGCCGGUACAAAGGGCUGCGAUACCGUAAGGUGGAGCGAAUCCCAAAAAGCCGGUCUCAGUUCGGAUUGGGGUCUGCAACUCGACCCCAUGAAGUCGGAGUCGCUAGUAAUCGCAGAUCAGCAACGCUGCGGUGAAUACGUUCCCGGGCCUUGUACACACCGCCC
rnacentral:rRNA from 1 species